AUUACCUUGGCAGAAUAAUGUAUUAGAUUUAGGAUCUAAAGAUAUAGUUAAAACUAUAGGUGAUA
rnacentral:tRNA from 1 species